rnacentral:rRNA from 1 species
UACGAAGGGGGCUAGCGUUGCUCGGAAUUACUGGGCGUAAAGGGAGCGUAGGCGGACAUUUAAGUCAGGGGGUGAAAUCCCAGAGCUCAACUCUGGAACUGCCUUUGAUACUGGAUGUCUUGAGUGUGAGAGAGGUAUGUGGAACUCCGAGUGUAGAGGUGAAAUUCGUAGAUAUUCGGAAGAACACCAGUGGCGAAGGCGACAUACUGGCUCAUUACUGACGCUGAGGCUCGAAAGCGUGGGGAGCAAACAGG